AAUUUCAAAAAGUAAAAUAAAAAAUAGAACCAAACUUGUGACAGUGACGGAAAUUACUAUCAUUCCUGAUUCCAAAACUCCAGUAAGGAUUAACAAAGGAUAUUGGUAAUUUGAAGGCAAAUCACGACGAUUAAGGGGGAAAUCGUUCAGGCAUUCAGUUUUGGCGGGAUUACAAGAAACAGCGUUUUGCUUCAUCCAACCCAUGGGAUGUUGCAAACUGAUGGAUAUCUUCAGCAAAAUACCGAGGAUCAAAUUCGUAAUUCUCAGAUUGUCUCAAUGGUACAUAGCAGGGUUGACGCUACAGUUUGUCACCUUUUAAUGCUCCAGUGGAUUGUACAACCUUUUCCAUUCUAAAAGGAUCCUUCAGAGUGUUAUUCUCUUCACGCUUACACCAUUCCUUGCAUUUGAUCAAGUCAGGCUAUGCUAUUGCUAACACCUUGAACCAUGCCCUUUCAGCUUCGGCUGUCUGAUCUACUAGUAUUGGUUUUUACUUUGGAGUCUUCCUCAUUGAUGCCCGCGAGAAAAAGAGGCUAAUCAGCUUGAAAAAGUGACAACCAGAGAAAGCGGACCAAGAAUAUUCAAAUUGUCGGACCUGCUUUUUCAGCUGUGGGGGUUUUUUGCAGCUGCUUUUCUUGACUACUGUAGCAAGUAUGGCCUACCAAAUUUGAUCAUUCUCCAGCUUCUUUCUCCUCUCUUAUAUGGAACCUCCAAACCCAGUUACGUUGCUCUCGGUUAAGUUAUUAAGGAUUUUCUGUUCGGUGAAGUCUACCCUAUGAAAAGAGAUUUCCAAUUUCUUCCGGGAUGGUUCCUGUCAAAUUGUUGGUUGAAAGAUCGAUUUCUGCUAAAUUCAAGGCCCUGAUCGAUGUUGGAAUCCCUCCUGAUAGCCUAUUUUUGUGCAAGUAUAAAUAUGUCAAGUUCUGAAGCAAAAACAACCCACUUGGAAUUUCACCCACCAAGUUAUUUUCCACCAAGUCUAAAUGCUCAAGGUUAAUUAAAUUGGCGAAACCUUUUGGGAUUUCACCAAUCAAAUUACAUUGAGUCAUCCAAAGUAACCUUAAACUCUUAAGCAUCCCAAAUUCUCUGGGUAAGUUGGUAGGGGAAAAUGGGUUGAUUGCUAACACCAAUUCCUCGAGGUUUUCCAAGUUUCCAAGCUGAGCAGGAAAUGUGCCAUUGAACAAAUUGGAAUCCAAACGAAGGUGAUCAACCUUUUGAGUUGAGCCAAUGACGUUGGGAUAUCUCCAGUGAAGUUGUUUAGACUAAGGUCAAGGUAUUGAAGAUUAGAAGAAAGUUUAUUUACAUCAUUUGGUAAUUUCCCUACAAAGAAGUUUGAAGAUAGGACUAAUGUU